CAUCAUCACAUUUCGAAUUUAUAAUAAGAAGCAGCAAACACAUGUAAAGUAACACCCCUUCGUUUCUCUCCCUCAAUCUGCUGUGAACACCUCAUUCCUUUUCUCCUACGUAACGUAACCCUCACCAUUCUCCGCUCUUCUCUACCGCAUGUUCUUUCGUAUUCACCAUCAAUUCCGCCAAGAACCUUCUUCAGACUCGUCCACACUGUACUUCCCAUAUGAUGCUUGCAAGUUAUGCUCUGAUUGCAACAAAUCAAAGGAGAAUCAAUUCGGUGGGUUCUGGUUUACUUUGUCAGUUGGGGAGGAAAGUAGCAGAUUUUCCACCUUAGCUGGCUUUUAUGCAGUCGCGGCUCAAGUGGCCUAGGCGGAUUGUUCUUCAAUUUUUCUCUCGUACAGUUCUAGAGCCUCAAAUGUUUCCGCUGGGUUCUGUGACUGCUUUGUUUUUAAUAGCGGCCAGCAGGGUCUUCUGUUGGGUCAGGAGAGGUAGGGCCGGGGGUGUUUUUUCUGUGGCCUGCUAUGUUUCUGCCAUCAAGCUCUGGUUUUGCUGUUUCACUCUCGUGUUUUGGUUUUCAACCUGGCUUUUUGUUAGUUUGUGUGCCUUUGCUGUCAAAGUUUGGAUGGUUUAUGCAUUUCCAUUGGGGCCUGCUGUAGACAGAUUUGCCGAUCCGGAGUGCAAAUAAUAGGUGGGAUUUUCAGUGAGUCCUCUGGCACAUAAGUCUUGUCACUAAAUCCAGAUCUAUCGACAAUUUUUCUUUGGAAACUUAUGCUCUCAUCUUUAAAAACUCCAGAAGCUUUUAAGUUAUGUA